AAAAAACACUAGGGGUGCCGUCAUGGCUGAGAUGGACGUCCGUCCGAUCCCUUUGAACCUGUUGAGUUAACACUCGCGAAGGAAAGUGUCCAGACUAGAAA
rnacentral:ncRNA from 2 species